rnacentral:rRNA from 1 species
UACGUAGGGGGCUAGCGUUGUCCGGAAUCAUUGGGCGUAAAGAGCGCGUAGGCGGCCCGAUAAGUCCGCUGUGAAAGUCCAGGGCUCAACCCUGGAAUGCCGGUGGAAACUGUCGGGCUAGAGUACGGAAGAGGCGAGUGGAAUUCCUGGUGUAGCGGUGGAAUGCGCAGAUAUCAGGAGGAACACCAAUAGCGAAGGCAGCUCGCUGGGACGUUACUGACGCUGAGGCGCGAAAGCGUGGGGAGCAAACAGG